rnacentral:rRNA from 1 species
GACGGAAGGUGCAAGCGUUGCUCGGAAUCACUGGGCGUAAAGGGUGCGUAGGCGGCUGUGCAAGUCUGGCGUGAAAGCCCCGGGCUCAGCCCGGGAAGUGCGCUCGAAACUGCGCAGCUCGAGUGCCGGAGGGGAGAGUGGAAUUCCUGGUGUAGCGGUGAAAUGCGUAGAUAUCAGGAGGAAUACCGGUGGCGAAAGCGACUCUCUGGACGGUAACUGACGCUGAGGCACGAAAGCGUGGGGAGCAAACAGGAUUAGAAACCCCCGUAGUCC